CCUUCAUCCACUUCCACCUGCAAGCUGUCUUCGCCAACAAGCCUGAGAAGAUCCCUAAUAAGCCUUCCUCUUCCUCUGCUUUUACCUAUUUCCGCUUGAUCGAUACGUCUGCCAUGGCCACGACGAUGGUGAAGGAGAAUAACUCCGGACCCGCUCAGCUUCUGGGCCCCGAAUCUGCCUUUGAAAGAACACUGUACCCAUACGUCACCGGUACAUCUGUGGUGGCUUUGAAGUAUAAGGACGGAAUUUUGAU
rnacentral:misc_RNA from 1 species